AACCUAGCACACCUGCGGUGUGUACCUGCGGAGGGAUCAUUACAGAGUUACUACUCCAAACCCAUUGUGAACCUUACCUAUGUUCUGUUGCCUCGGCGGCGUGGUCAGCGCCCCUCUGAAAAGAGGACGAUGCCCUCCCGCCGGCAGCACCAAACUCUUUAAAUUUUACAGCGGAUUACAGUUCUGAUUUGAAAACAAAAAAAACAAGUUAAAACUUUCAACAACGGAUCUCAGAUCGGA
rnacentral:misc_RNA from 1 species